ACUCAAAGGAAUUGACGGGGGCCCGCACAAGCGGAGGAACAUGUGGUUUAAUUCGAUGAUACGCGAGGAACCUUACCUGGGUUUAAAUGGGGAGUGACAGGCUUGGAAACAGGCCCUUCUUCGGACACUCUUCAAGGUGCUGCAUGGUUGUCGUCAGCUCGUGCCGUGAGGUGUCGGGUUAAGUCCCAUAACGAGCGCAACCCCUAUCGAUAGUUACCAGCACGUUACGGUGGGGACUCUAUCGAGACUGCCGGUGUAAACCGUGAGGAGGGUGGGGAUGACGUCAAAUCAGCACGGCCCUUACAUCCAGGGCUACACACGUGUUACAAUGGCCGGUACAAAGGGCAGCUACACAGCGAUGUGAUGCUAAUCUCCAAAUCCGGUCUCAGUUCGGAUCGAAGUCUGCAACCCGACUUCGUGAAGCUGGAUUCGCUAGUAAUCGCGCAUCAGCCAUGGCGCGGUGAAUACGUUCCCGGGCCUUGUACACACCGCCCGU
rnacentral:rRNA from 1 species